rnacentral:tRNA from 1 species
CUAAGGAUGUUCCUCCAGCGCCUCUCACGAGGUUCUAUUGGAACUCCAAUCAAAUGCGGGAUGCCGCCGUCUUCGUUUCUCUUUCCUCCUUCGCCGCCGCCGGCCAGCCAUACGGGUUGUUCGGACAGGCGGUUAGAUCGCGAGCCCGAAUACCGGGACCGCUGCCAUAGGCCCGUAGCUCAGGUGGUUAGAGCGUACGCCUGAUAAGCGUAAGGUCGGCAGUUCGAGUCUGCCCGGGCCUACCACUCCUUUGGUAGUGCGGAUCGGGGCCAUAGCUCAGUUGGUAGAGCGCGUGCUUUGCAAGCAUGAGGUCGUCGGUUCGAUCCCGUCUGGCUCCACCAUCCGGUGGCCGACGGCUCAGCGAUUAAGGAAAUACGGUUUGCGCCGGCGGCUUUGUCCGCAGGUUGCAUUGAAAUUGUAAAGGGAAGGUUCGACCGGGCAGUCAUGCUUUUGAGGUCGAGCUCGAGAAGACAUUGUCUGGCAAAAUAUCAAAGUCCAUGCGUGGGCGCUCCGGCACUUCUUUCCAGUCGGAGAGGCCACAAGCGCAUGGGUUUUGCUGAGAACGAUCAAACGCAAAAGGGCUUCUGACGGAUGCCUUGG